UACGGAGGGGGCUAGCGUUGUCCGAAGUUACUGGGCGUAAAAGCGCGCGUAGGCGGGGUUGGUAAGUCCGCUGUGAAAGCCCCGGAGCUCAACUCCGGAGGGUCGGUGGAUACUGCCAGUCUUGAAGGUGCUAGGGGGAGAUGGAAUUACCGGUGUAGCGGUGAAAUGCGUAGAUAUCGGUAGGAACACCAGUGGCGAAGGCGGUCUCCUGGGGGCAUUCUUGACGCUGAGGCGCGAAAGCCUGGGGGGAGCAAACGGG
rnacentral:rRNA from 1 species